UGGGGAAUAUUGCGCAAUGGGGGGAACCCUGACGCAGCCAUGCCGCGUGAAUGAAGAAGGCCUUAGGGUUGUAAAGUUCUUUCGGUAUUGAGGAAGGUUGAUGUGUUAAUAGCACAUCAAAUUGACGUUAAAUACAGAAGAAGCACCGGCUAACUCCGUGCCAGCAGCCGCGGUAAUACGGAGGGUGCGAGCGUUAAUCGGAAUAACUGGGCGUAAAGGGCACGCAGGCGGUUAUUUAAGUGAGGUGUGAAAGCCCCGGGCUUAACCUGGGAAUUGCAUUUCAGACUGGGUAACUAGAGUACUUUAGGGAGGGGUAGAAUUCCACGUGUAGCGGUGAAAUGCGUAGAGAUGUGGAGGAAUACCGAAGGCGAAGGCAGCCCCUUGGGAAUGUACUGAUGCUCAUGUGCGAAAGCGUGGGGAGCAAACAGGAUUAGAUACCCUGGUAGUCCACGCUGUAAACGCUGUCGAUUUGGGGGUUGGGGUUUAACUCUGGCGCCCGUAGCUAACGUGAUAAAUCGACCGCCUGGGGAGUACGGCCGCAAGGUU
rnacentral:rRNA from 1 species